rnacentral:rRNA from 1 species
GACGAACGCUGGCGGCGUGCUUAACACAUGCAAGUCGAACGGAAAGGCCCUGCUUUUGUGGGGUGCUCGAGUGGCGAACGGGUGAGUAACACGUGAGUAACCUGCCCUUGACUUUGGGAUAACUUCAGGAAACUGGGGCUAAUACCGGAUAGGAGCUCCUGCUGCAUGGUGGGGGUUGGAAAGUUUCGGCGGUUGGGGAUGGACUCGCGGCUUAUCAGCUUGUUGGUGGGGUAGUGGCUUACCAAGGCUUUGACGGGUAGCCGGCCUGAGAGGGUGACCGGCCAGAUUGGGACUGAGAUACGGCCCGGACUCCUACGGGAGGCAGCAGUGGGGAAUAUUGCACAAUGGGCGGAAGCCUGAUGCAGCAACGCCGCGUGCGGGAUGACGGCCUUCGGGUUGGAAACCGCUUUCGCCUGUGACGAAGCGUGAGUGACGGUAAUGGGUAAAGAAGCACCGGCUAACUACGUG